rnacentral:snRNA from 1 species
CUCCUUCAAAUACUGGAAGGU